rnacentral:rRNA from 1 species
AUUGAACGCUGGCGGCAGGCCUAACACAUGCAAGUCGAGCGAGCGGCGGACGGGGGAGUAAUGUAUGGGGACUGCCCGAUAUAGGGGGAUAACUAUUGGAAACGGUAGCUAAUACCGCAUACUAUCGGAUAACCCAUAUGGGAUUAGCGAGUAGGUGAGGGAAUGGCUCACCUAGGCGACGAUCCCUAGCUGGUCUGAGAGGAUGAUCAGCCACACUGGGACUGAGACACGGCCCAGACUCCUACGGAGGCAGCAGUGGGGAAUAUUGCACAAUGGGCUCAAGCCUGAUGCAGCCAUGCCGAGUGUAUGAAGAAGGCCCUAGGGUUGUAAAAUACUUUCAGUCGGGAAGCGUUACCGGCAGAAGAAGCACCGGCUAACUCCGUGCCAGCAGCCGCGGUAAUUC